UCCCUGAAGGACUAGUGGUUAGGCCUCAGCGCUCUCACCGCCGCGGCUCGGGUUGGAUUCCUGCCAGGGAA
rnacentral:tRNA from 1 species